rnacentral:rRNA from 1 species
UAGCGGGAUGCUUUACACAUGCAAGUCGAACGGCAGCGCGAGAGAGCUUGCUCUCUUGGCGGCGAGUGGCGGACGGGUGAGUAAUAUAUCGGAACGUGCCCAGUAGCGGGGGAUAACUACUCGAAAGAGUGGCUAAUACCGCAUACGCCCUACGGGGGAAAGGGGGGGAUCGCAAGACCUCUCACUAUUGGAGCGGCCGAUAUCGGAUUAGCUAGUUGGUGGGGUAAAGGCUCACCAAGGCAACGAUCCGUAGCUGGUUUGAGAGGACGACCAGCCACACUGGGACUGAGACACGGCCCAGACUCCUACGGGAGGCAGCAGUGGGGAAUUUUGGACAAUGGGGGAAACCCUGAUCCAGCCAUCCCGCGUGUAUGAUGAAGGCCUUCGGGUUGUAAAGUACUUUUGGCAGAGAAGAAAAGGUAUCUCCUAAUACGAGAUACUGCUGACGGUAUCUGCAGAAUAAGCACCGGCUAACUACGUGCCAGCAGCCGCGGUAAUACGUAGGGUGCAAGCGUUAAUCGGAAUUACUGGGCGUAAAGCGUGUGUAGGCGGUUCGGAAAGAAAGAUGUGAAAUCCCAGGGCUCAACCUUGGAACUGCAUUUUUAACUGCCGAGCUAGAGUAUGUCAGAGGGGGGUAGAAUUCCACGUGUAGCAGUGAAAUGCGUAGAUAUGUGGAGGAAUACCGAUGGCGAAGGCAGCCCCCUGGGAUAAUACUGACGCUCAGACACGAAAG